rnacentral:rRNA from 1 species
GUCCUUUUGAAUUUAAUUUAAGGUUUAACCUGCCCACUGAAAUAUUUGAAGGGCCGCAGUAAUUUGACUGUGCAAAGGUAGCAUAAUCAUUAGUUUUUUAAUUAAAAGCUUGUAUGAAGGGUUGGACGAGGUAAAUUCUGUCUCUAUUUAAUUUAUAGUAGAAUUUAAUUUUUAAGUUAAAAAGCUUAAAUUUAAUUAAAAGACGAGAAGACCCUAUAGAUCUUUAUAUUAUUUUUAUUAAUUUUAAUUAAGAUUAUUUAAUUUUUUAAUAAUUAUAGUAUUUUAUUGGGGUAAUAGAAAGAUUUAAUUAAUUCUUUUUUUAUUAUAACAUUAAUAAAUGAAUUUAUGAUCCAAUAUUAUUGAUUAUAAGAUUAAGUUACCUUAGGGAUAACAGCGUAAUAUUUUUAGAGAGUUCAUAUCGAUAAAAAAGUUUGCGACCUCGAUGUUGGAUUAAAAAUUAUUUUAGGUGUAGAAGCUUAAAAUUUUGGUCUGUUCGACCAUUAAAUUUUUACAUGAUCUGAGUUCAGACCGGCGUAAGCCAGGUCGGUUUCUAUCUUUAGUAAAUUUUUAUAUUUUAGUACGAAAGGACCAAAUAUUAGAUAUAAAUAUAUUUAUUGAUUUUGAAUAU